UUGAUCCUGGCUCAGGACGAACGCUGGCGGCGUGCCUAAUACAUGCAAGUCGAGCGAGCCGAACUAAUUGAUUACCUUCGGGUAUGAAGUUAGGGAAGCGAGCGGCGGAUGGGUGAGUAACACGUGGGUAACCUACCCUAUAGUCUGGGAUACCACUUGGAAACAGGUGCUAAUACCAGAUAAAAGGAGAGAUCACAUGAUUUCUUUUUGAAAGGCGGCGUAAGCUGUCGCUAAAGGAUGGACCCGCGGUGCAUUAGCUAGUUGGUAAGGUAACGGCUUACCAAGGCAACGAUGCAUAGCCGAGUUGAGAGACUGAUCGGCCACAUUGGGACUGAGACACGGCCCAAACUCCUACGGGAGGCAGCAGUAGGGAAUCUUCCACAAUGGACGCCAAGUUCUGAUGGAGCAACGCCCGGCGUGAAGUGAAGAAGGUUUUCGGAUCGUAAAGCUCUGUGUUGGUGAAGAAAGAUAGUGAGAGUACUGCUCAUUAUUUGCCGGUAAUCAACAGAAAGUCACGGCUAACUACGUGCCAGCAGCCGCGGUAAUACGUAGGUGGCAAGCGUUGUCCCGGAUUUAAUGGGCGUAAAGCGAGCGCAGGCGGAAAGAUAAGUCAGAUGUGAAAGCCCUCGGCUUAACCGAGGAAUAGCAUCGGAAACUGUCUUUCUUGAGUGCAGAAGAGGAGAGUGGAACUCCAUGUGUAGCGGUGGAAUGCGUAGAUAUAUGGAAGAACACCAGUGGCGAAGGCGGCUCUCUGGUCUGUAACUGACGCUGAGGCUCGAAAGCAUGGGUAGCGAACAGGAUUAGAUACCCUGGUAGUCCAUGCUGUAAACGAUGAGUGCUAAGUGUUGGGAGGUUUCCGCCUCUCAGUGCUGCAGCUAACGCAUUAAGCACUCCGCCUGGGGAGUACGACCGCAAGGUCAAAACUCAAAGGAAUUGACGGGGGCCCGCACAAGCGGUGGAGCAUGGUGGUUUAAUUCGAAGCAACGCGAAGAACCUUACCAGGUCUUGACAUCUAGUGCCAACCUAAGAGAUUAGGCGUUCCCUUCGGGGACACUAAGACAGUGGUGCAUGGCUGUCGUCAGCUCGUGUCGUGAGAUGUUGGUUAAGUCCCGCAACGAGCGCACCCGUUAUUUAUUAGGUUGCCCAGGCAUUAAGUUGGGCACUCUAAUGAGACUGCCGGUGACAAACCGGAGGAAGGUGGGGAUGACGUCAAGUCAUCAUGCCCCUUAUGACCUGGGCUACACACGUGCUACAAUGGGCAGUACAACGAGGAGCGAACUUGUGAAGGCAAGCGAAUCUCUGAAAGCUGUUCUCAGUUCGGACUGUAGGCUGCAACUCGCCUACACGAAGCUGGAAUCGCUAGUAAUCGCGGAUCAGCACGCCGCGGUGAAUAC
rnacentral:rRNA from 1 species